rnacentral:rRNA from 1 species
AGUCAUAUGCUUGUCUCAAAGAUUAAGCCAUGCAUGUCUCAGUACAAGCCGAAUUAAGGUGAAACCGCGAAAGGCUCAUUAAAUCAGUUAUGGUUCCUUAGAUCGUACCCACAUUUACUUGGAUAACUGUGGUAAUUCUAGAGCUAAUACAUGCAAACAGAGCUCCGACCGGAGACGGAAGGAGCGCUUUUAUUAGAUCAAAACUAAUCGGCGGCGGCUCCGGCCGUUCGUCGUACACCUUGGUGAAUCUGAAUAACUUUCUGCUGAUCGCAUGGUCUCGCACCGGCGACGCAUCUUUCAAAUGUCUGCCUUAUCAACUGUCGAUGGUAGGUUCUGCGCCUACCAUGGUUGUAACGGGUAACGGGGAAUCAGGGUUCGAUUCCGGAGAGGGAGCCUGAGAAACGGCUACCACAUCCAAGGAAGGCAGCAGGCGCGCAAAUUACCCACUCCCGGCACGGGGAGGUAGUGACGAAAAAUAACGAUACGGGACUCAUCCGAGGCCCCGUAAUCGGAAUGAGUACACUCUAAACCCUUUAACGAGGAUCAAUUGGAGGGCAAGUCUGGUGCCAGCAGCCGCGGUAAUUCCAGCUCCAAUAGCGUAU